CGUCGAGGAUACGCUGGGCUCAACUCCGGCCUGGUUUGGCUACAUCAUUGGCGGUAUGGCAGUCGGCUCAAUCAUUGGCAGCAUCUCCGCAGGAGCCUUGAAUGUUGCGCCGAAGAACAAGGGCAAAGUUGUCAUUACGGCUCUAUCAUUCCUGGCAGCCGGGUUUGUCGCGUUCGCUUAUAGCAGUGGUCCGGUUGUAGCGCUGCUGAUUCUCGCUGCUGUCGGU
rnacentral:rRNA from 1 species